rnacentral:lncRNA from 1 species
CUCUUAUUGUAGGAAAAGCCCUUUUUCCUUUUCAUGGCUCCUGAAAUUUAUGCAGUUGGCAAGCAUUACAAGUUGUAAUUGUGAGUCACUGGAUGUUAACCCAAACACUCUCUUUCUUUGCAGGCAUGGAAUAAGCAACAGGGGGGGAAAACAAAGGGGCAAAACAGCUUGCUUGGUUAUAUAAACAAAUCAAAUGACUACUGCUGCCCAUCAAGUUUUUCACUGCAAUAGAGACUCACUUCUCCUGAAUAAAUGGGAAUCACACAGAGAACUCUGUCACUGCUUAGGCUCUGUUUUGACAGUCUUCAUUCUGGAUACUGACCACUGUAUCUCCACAAUUCAGUUUUUCCUGAAUGAAUCGUUGUGUCAUAUAGACCUUCACUGACUGAAUUCUGACCUUCUCUAUUUGGAGCUGCUGUAAGGAAAGGCACGUGGUCUGUGUUGGUAAGGAUUGGACCAAA